GACGAACGCUGGCGGCGUGCCUAAUACAUGCCAGUCGAGCGAAGUUUUUCUGGUGCUUGCACUAGAAAAACUUAGCGGCGAACGGGUGAGUAACACGUAAAGAACCUGCCUCAUAGACUGGGACAACUAUUGGAAACGAUAGCUAAUACCGGAUAACAGUAUUUCUCGCAUGAGAGAUAUUUAAAAGUUGGUUAUGCUAACACUAUGAGAUGGCUUUGCGGUGCAUUAGCUAGUUGGUGGGGUAAAGGCCCACCAAGGCGACGAUGCAUAGCCGACCUGAGAGGGUGAUCGGCCACACUGGGACUGAGACACGGCCCAGACUCCUACGGGAGGCAGCAGUAGGGAAUCUUCCGCAAUGGGCGAAAGCCUGACGGAGCAACGCCGCGUGAGUGAAGAAGGAGUUCGGUUCGUAAAGCUCUGUUGUUAGGGAAGAAUGGAUAUGUAGUAACUAUACAUGUAAGAGACGGUACCUAACCAGAAAGCCACGGCUAACUACGUG
rnacentral:rRNA from 1 species